rnacentral:tRNA from 1 species
GAUCGGUUAGUCGAGCGGUAAGACACCACCCUUUCACGGUGGUAACACGAGUUCGAAUCUCGUACCGAUCAC